AAGUCCUUUGUCAAAGCGUGGAGCUUAACUCCAUAACGGCGAGGGAAACUGACAGGCUAGAGUACAGUAGGGGUAGGAGGAAUUCCCGGUGUAGCGGUGAAAUGCGUAGAUAUCGGGAAGAACACCAGUGGCGAAAGCGUCCUACCGGGCUGUAACUGACACUGAGGUACGAAAGCUAGGGGAGCGAAUGGGAUUAGGUACCCCAGUAGUCCUAGCCGUAAACGAUGGGUACUAGGUGUUGACCGAACCACUCGGUCGGUGCCGUAGCUAACGCGUUAAGUACCCCGCCUGGGGAGUACGGUCGCAAGAUUGAAACUCAAAGGAAUUGACGGGGGCCCGCACAAGCGGUGGAGUAUGUGGUUUAAUUCGAUGCUACGCGAAGAACCUUACCUGGGUUUGACAUGCGAGUAGUAGUGAUGAAAUGGAACGAUCCCUGCGGGGAAGCUCGUGCAGGUGCUGGAUGGCUGUCGUCAGCUCGUGCCGUGAGUUGUUCGGUUAAGUCCGCAAACGAGCGCAACCCCUGGUGUCAGUUACAAGUGUCUGGCGCGACUGCCCGUGGCAAACGGGAGGAAGGCGGGGAUGACGUCAAGUCAGCAUGGCCUUUAUAUCCAGGGCUACACACACGCUACAAUGGCACAUACAAUGGGUCGCGAAGCCGCGAGGUGGAGCCAAUCUUGGAAAGUGUGCCACAGUUCGGAUUGCAGGCUGCAACUCGCCUGCAUGAAGUCGGAG
rnacentral:rRNA from 1 species